rnacentral:lncRNA from 1 species
CAACAGUGUUGCAAGUCCCCCUCUAGGAAAAGCCCAUACCAUCCUGAACUCUCUGCUCCUGAAGGACUCACCCUGGGGCCCCAGCGUGGGCCCUUGGUGACCCAGCAGAUCUCAGUGUGGCAGACAGUGCAGCUGGAUCCAGUCACAGCCGCCCUUCUUCUGUACCACGAUCCGGCACCGUGGCAUCCCCAGGCCCUGGACCUGAACCUGCCUCACCUGCAGCAUCUCUGUGGUCUGCCGGCAGCCAGGUCAUUCUGAGCCCGCAGUGCCAGGUCAUCCUGAUACUCCUUGCAGUUAAUGUGCUCGUGGAUGGCCUGCAGGGUGACAGGGUUCCCCAGGGAUCUGAGAAGCUGGGAGGGUUGGGGCAGAGCAGCCAUUAGCACAAGGAUUGAAUGCCUCUGGAUGUAUAGGACCCGGACACCAGGGAGGUGAAGCCAACUCCAGGAUAGGAUCAUGAUGAUACCUACUUAUCUGAUUUAAUUCCUAAGCAUCUCUCCCCAGGCUGUGGCCCCUCUCCUUGCUUCUGUUCUGCCCAUCACAGCCCAGUGCUCAGGGAUUGAGCUCACUUAGACUGGGUCUGCGCCCACCCCACACCUUCAUGGGAAACGUGAGGUCAUUUGGGCAAGGCCAGGCCUGGAAAAGAAUCACACAGGACUCAGUCUGGGUUUGGGAUCAGAACUUAGUUCAGUGCAGGAGUUGAAACCAUGACACAGGCUUGGUUCAAGAUCUAAGCACAGGGCUCAGUUCAGGGUAUAGCCUUGAUGUGAGGCCAGCUUAGGGAUUUGGAUGGGAUCAGGAUUCAGUAUGGAACCAGGAUUCAGCCUGUGACUGGGCCAGAGUUGGGCUCAGUGCAGGCCCAGGGCUCAGUCUGGAGCUGGAAUGAAUGCUCAAUACUGGGCCAGGCCAGUGUAGGGUUGAGUCUGGCAGGGACAAAUCUGGGACCUGUUCUAUGGCAUCAAGGCUACUUCAGGGCCAAGCUAGGUGCCCACUGAUAUGUGGCCCUCAGUAUGACCCUCAGGCUGAUACCACAGCUCCCUUCCCUGGGAACAAGCACUGAGGACCAGGGAGCCCCAGGCAGAACGAAGUGCCCAGGCUGGGUGGGACCCUGGCCCCACCUUGCAAAGCAAGCAGUUGAUGUGGAAACACACGGGACAGGUGAACUCAUUGACGUCAUCCUCAAAAAAGCACCAGCCCUUGCAGUCCGGGGUCUUGCAGUGGUAGCUGAAAGCACUGCGGUUUUCUGCAAUGGAGACGCUCAGGUCCAGAAAGCGCUGGUAAUCCUCAGGGGGCAGGAGCUGCAAACAGCCCCGAUCCUUGUUGCUCAGGAUUCAGAAACAACAAAUACCUCAUCUUUCACCCUUGUCACCACAUAUUCC